GGCUCUGGUGGCCUAGUGGUUAGAGCGUCUGCCUCGGAUGCAGGAGGUCAUGGGUUCAAUCUCAAGUUGAGUCA